AUUUAACAAAGCGUUUGUUACGUUUGACUUUAGGCCAAGCAGCGAUGUGAGCUGACAUACUCUAGAAUAAUUUAAAAAAAAAAUGUCAAGACAUAAUACAUUAGAGAGCCUCCAAAAGAGCAAAGCAAAUUUAGAUGGAGUUAUAAAAUCAUCUACCCUGAUAACAUAGCCAGUGGUAUUUAUUCAUAAUUUAGACAUUGAUAUUUAGUCAGUUCUAGUGAACGUAUAAAAAAAUGCAGUAACACAAAGAAUCAUAAGACCUGUGUUACCUUUGAAGAGCUGCCUCUUCAAUGAGAUGCUAUUGCCUGCACUGUUUCCAGGUUCACAGCAUGGAAGUCAAAAGCAAAUUUGGCAGGUGCAAAAGCCUACUUUUUUUUUCUUUCUUUCUUUUUUUUUUUUUUUUUCUAUAGGUGAAGAGAACUGUCCUGUAACUUGGUCUGCUUCAUCUUGGACUGGAGUUUUACAAAAGUUUCUGCAGGCUCGGGAAAAGUGCAAUUUUCUGAGAACCUGUUUGGCUUCAUCCAGUCUGCGCAGCUGGCUACGACGGUUUUUAUUGACCUCCAGCAUCACUUACUUGUUCAGCAAUCCAAUAGGCUUGAAGAGGCAACAUCUGUGUUGAAGAAGUAAAAGAACCAUCAGGUCUGUUGCAAAGCAGCCCUGCCAAGGUUCCUCACAGUAGCUGGGCCUUCUUUGAACACAACAUCUGCUUACACAGAUACCCUUAUAAGAUCAAAUUUUAAAGGUCAAGAUGGAAAUGGAAGAUGAAAGCAGAGAUGACAGAUAUAUGGACAGUCAGAGUUUUAAUGCCACGUUUAUGCUGGAUUUAGCCCAAGCCAAAUUCCUACCUUUUGUUAUUUAACCUGGUUGUUUUUAUUAUUACUAAUUCUCGUUAUUACUUCUAGCUGGAAGAUCUGGAGAUUUUCACACUACACUGUUCACCUUUUAAGAUUUUGAUUUCUUCAAACAAAGAAAAAAUCCAGAAAAAGGUGGAAUGAAAUGGUUCAAAAUAGGAGCAGCACCUUUCCACUGCAUGCCAUUACACUGCUAAUGCUGAUAAGAAACUCCUGGUAAAUGCCAUUCUGAGUACUGGUGAUUUUUGUAUUAGUGUGAUCUGUCCAUAAUCAGUAUUAUGAAUAACAAUUUUUUACUUACUCUCUUUUUGUUUUCUAGUCAAAUAAAGACUUUGGGAGACCAAGCA
rnacentral:lncRNA from 1 species